rnacentral:lncRNA from 1 species
UCCUCAUGCCUGACUAACUACCUACUGUAACAAAUUCACUUCUGGGUUCUAUUUGCCGGUACUUGAUUUAGAAUCUUUGCAUCAAUAUUUCACGCACUCCUGGCUUUAAAGUUUAUACUUGCAUUUGCCAUACCUGAUAAGCCACGGCAUAUCCAGAUGAAACUAGCCAGACUGGAAUUUGAGUCUUUGGAGGCACUCAAGCAGCAGCAAAUGAAGCUCGUGACCGAGAACCUGAAGGAGGAACCAAUGGAAAGCGGGAAGGAGAAGGCAACCUGAGUGCCCAGCGUGCCCAGCUGCCCUGUUGGCAGAGGCCUGUGUCUGUGCCACACCUGCCACGGUGGCAGGGGGGGUACCCGGGGCAGCAUCGUGGCUCCUGAACCCAGACCCAAUGCUUAGCCAAACGAAGUGGCUCCCAUGUGGCAAGCACCCUUCUCAGUUUCGCAGUGGCUUGGCUCGGGAUCCUUGGCAGUUCCCCCAGCCCCACCCUGUCUGCUCCUUCCCAGUUCCUUCCCGGGCCCCACACGCUGCUCCAGCUGCCAACUUUGCUGCAGAGCCACUGCCGCCCUUGAGCCUCUCACCAUGAGUGAGCCACCAGCUCUCCACGUUCCCCUCAUAGCAGUGUCACUCCCAACCCCACCAUGGCCCAGGGACCCGUGGACAGGUUGGGGAUGGGGUGUGUGCCCACUGUGCUCAUCACAGGAGCCUCAGUUGAGAGUGAGCGGGGUACAGUAAGGCAGUGCUUCCCACACUGGACCUCUUUCCUGGUUCUCUUUUGCAAUACAUUAACAGACCCUUUAUCAACAUAAACAAUAGUAACUGAGCUAUUAAAGGCAACCUCUC